rnacentral:rRNA from 1 species
GGGUUGUGAGGUUAAGCGACUAAGCGUACACGGUGGAUGCCCUGGCAGUCAGAGGCGAUGAAGGACGUGCUAAUCUGCGAUAAGCGUCGGUAAGGUGAUAUGAACCGUUAUAACCGGCGAUUUCCGAAUGGGGAAACCCAGUGUGAUUCGUCACACUAUCAUUAACUGAAUCCAUAGGUUAAUGAGGCGAACCGGGGGAACUGAAACAUCUAAGUACCCCGAGGAAAAGAAAUCAACCGAGAUUCCCCCAGUAGCGGCGAGCGAACGGGGAGCAGCCCAGAGCCUGAAUCAGUGUGUGUGUUAGUGGAAGCGUCUGGAAAGGCGCGCGAUACAGGGUGACAGCCCCGUACACAAAAAUGCACAUACUGUGAGCUCGAUGAGUAGGGCGGGACACGUGGUAUCCUGUCUGAAUAUGGGGGGACCAUCCUCCAAGGCUAAAUACUCCUGACUGACCGAUAGUGAACCAGUACCGUGAGGGAAAGGCGAAAAGAACCCCGGCGAGGGGAGUGAAAAAGAACCUGAAACCGUGUACGUACAAGCAGUGGGAGCCUUGAUUUAUCAGGGUGACUGCGUACCUUUUGUAUAAUGGGUCAGCGACUUAUAUUCUGUAGCAAGGUUAACCGAAUAGGGGAGCCGAAGGGAAACCGAGUCUUAACUGGGCGUUAAGUUGCAGGGUAUAGACCCGAAACCCGGUGAUCUAGCCAUGGGCAGGUUGAAGGUUGGGUAACACUAACUGGAGGACCGAACCGACUAAUGUUGAAAAAUUAGCGGAUGACUUGUGGCUGGGGGUGAAAGGCCAAUCAAACCGGGAGAUAGCUGGUUCUCCCCGAAAGCUAUUUAGGUAGCGCCUCGUGAAUUCAUCUCCGGGGGUAGAGCACUGUUUCGGCAAGGGGGUCAUCCCGACUUACCAACCCGAUGCAAACUGCGAAUACCGGAGAAUGUUAUCACGGGAGACACACGGCGGGUGCUAACGUCCGUCGUGAAGAGGGAAACAACCCAGACCGCCAGCUAAGGUCCCAAAGUCAUGGUUAAGUGGGAAACGAUGUGGGAAGGCCCAGACAGCCAGGAUGUUGGCUUAGAAGCAGCCAUCAUUUAAAGAAAGCGUAAUAGCUCACUGGUCGAGUCGGCCUGCGCGGAAGAUGUAACGGGGCUAAACCAUGCACCGAAGCUGCGGCAGCGACACUAUGUGUUGUUGGGUAGGGGAGCGUUCUGUAAGCCUGUGAAGGUGUGCUGUGAGGCAUGCUGGAGGUAUCAGAAGUGCGAAUGCUGACAUAAGUAACGAUAAAGCGGGUGAAAAGCCCGCUCGCCGGAAGACCAAGGGUUCCUGUCCAACGUUAAUCGGGGCAGGGUGAGUCGACCCCUAAGGCGAGGCCGAAAGGCGUAGUCGAUGGGAAACAGGUUAAUAUUCCUGUACUUGGUGUUACUGCGAAGGGGGGACGGAGAAGGCUAUGUUGGCCGGGCGACGGUUGUCCCGGUUUAAGCGUGUAGGCUGGUUUUCCAGGCAAAUCCGGAAAAUCAAGGCUGAGGCGUGAUGACGAGGCACUACGGUGCUGAAGCAACAAAUGCCCUGCUUCCAGGAAAAGCCUCUAAGCAUCAGGUAACAUCAAAUCGUACCCCAAACCGACACAGGUGGUCAGGUAGAGAAUACCAAGGCGCUUGAGAGAACUCGGGUGAAGGAACUAGGCAAAAUGGUGCCGUAACUUCGGGAGAAGGCACGCUGAUAUGUAGGUGAAGCGACUUGCUCGUGGAGCUGAAAUCAGUCGAAGAUACCAGCUGGCUGCAACUGUUUAUUAAAAACACAGCACUGUGCAAACACGAAAGUGGACGUAUACGGUGUGACGCCUGCCCGGUGCCGGAAGGUUAAUUGAUGGGGUCAGCCGCAAGGCGAAGCUCUUGAUCGAAGCCCCGGUAAACGGCGGCCGUAACUAUAACGGUCCUAAGGUAGCGAAAUUCCUUGUCGGGUAAGUUCCGACCUGCACGAAUGGCGUAAUGAUGGCCAGGCUGUCUCCACCCGAGACUCAGUGAAAUUGAACUCGCUGUGAAGAUGCAGUGUACCCGCGGCAAGACGGAAAGACCCCGUGAACCUUUACUAUAGCUUGACACUGAACAUUGAGCCUUGAUGUGUAGGAUAGGUGGGAGGCUUUGAAGCGUGGACGCCAGUCUGCGUGGAGCCGACCUUGAAAUACCACCCUUUAAUGUUUGAUGUUCUAACGUGGACCCGUUAUCCGGGUUGCGGACAGUGUCUGGUGGGUAGUUUGACUGGGGCGGUCUCCUCCUAAAGAGUAACGGAGGAGCACGAAGGUUGGCUAAUCCUGGUCGGACAUCAGGAGGUUAGUGCAAUGGCAUAAGCCAGCUUGACUGCGAGCGUGACGGCGCGAGCAGGUGCGAAAGCAGGUCAUAGUGAUCCGGUGGUUCUGAAUGGAAGGGCCAUCGCUCAACGGAUAAAAGGUACUCCGGGGAUAACAGGCUGAUACCGCCCAAGAGUUCAUAUCGACGGCGGUGUUUGGCACCUCGAUGUCGGCUCAUCACAUCCUGGGGCUGAAGUAGGUCCCAAGGGUAUGGCUGUUCGCCAUUUAAAGUGGUACGCGAGCUGGGUUUAGAACGUCGUGAGACAGUUCGGUCCCUAUCUGCCGUGGGCGCUGGAGAACUGAGGGGGGCUGCUCCUAGUACGAGAGGACCGGAGUGGACGCAUCACUGGUGUUCGGGUUGUCAUGCCAAUGGCACUGCCCGGUAGCUAAAUGCGGAAGAGAUAAGUGCUGAAAGCAUCUAAGCACGAAACUUGCCCCGAGAUGAGUUCUCCCUGACUCCUUGAGAGUCCUGAAGGAACGUUGAAGACGACGACGUUGAUAGGCCGGGUGUGUAAGCGCAGCGAUGCGUUGAGCUAACCGGUACUAAUGAACCGUGAGGCUUAACCUUACAACGCCGAAGGUGUUU